CAGACGCAAUCCGCUGGUGUACAAAAUUCAGGGUUUAAGACGAAUUAAAGCAUAAACCCUUCUUCACCACCGGGAGAGUCUAUCAGGGAUCAUCAUCAUCGUCAUCAAGCCGAUCUACUCAGACCAAAACCUCUCAUAAAAACCUCCACUAAUGGUUGUCGUGCAAGCCGAUUCUCUGUCUGAGGAGAACGUUGUUGACCAUUUAAUUGACAAGCAAAAGCAUGCCGCUGCACCAGUAAAAUCUGCCGUCGACAAAUUCCAGCUUCUCCCUGAAUUUUUAAAGGUGAGAGGGUUAGUGAAGCAGCACUUAGAUUCGUUUAAUUAUUUUAUAAAUAUUGGAAUCAAGAAGAUUGUGCGUGCCAAUGAUCGGAUUGUGUCCACAGUUGAUCCUAGUCUUUAUCUGAGGUUUACAGAUGUUAAGAUUGGAAAGCCUUCUAUGGUGGUCGAUGCUAUUAGUGAACAAAUUACUCCUCAUAUGUGUCGCUUAUCUGACACGACGUAUGCUGCACCGAUAUGGGUUAAUAUAGAGUAUAUUUCAGGAAGCCAUGGUCGGAAGGAGAAGAUGAUAAAGAAUGAUGUUGUCAUUGGAAGAAUGCCCAUAAUGUUACGAAGUUGUUGCUGUGUGUUGUCUGGAAAAAAUGAAGCUGAACUUGCAAGACUUGGUGAGUGCCCCCUUGACCCUGGAGGAUAUUUUGUUGUCAAAGGAACUGAGAAGGUGAUUUUAAUACAAGAGCAACUUUCAAAGAACAGAAUCAUUAUUGAUAAUGACAAGAAAGGGAACAUAAAUGCAUCUGUUACAAGUAGCACUGAGGCGACAAAAAGCAAAACAGUCAUUCUGAUGGAAAAAGAGAAGAUGUAUUUAUGUCUCAACCAGUUUGCAAAAAAGAUUCCUAUAAUGGUGGUAAUGAAGGCUAUGGGGAUGGAGAGCGACCAAGAGGUGGUACAGAUGGUAGGAAGAGAUCCUCGAUAUAGCGCGUUGCUUUUGCCCUCUAUUGAGGAAUGUGCAAGUCAUGGUGUUUACACACGGGAACAAGCCUUGGAAUAUCUUGAAGCAAUGGUGAAGAGGUCUACAUACUCUAGUUCAUCAACUGAAAAGCAGGAAAAUAGAGCUUUGGCCAUUCUUCGAGAUGUAUUUAUUGCUAAUGUUCCGGUGCGCAAGAAUAAUUUCCGCCCAAAAUGUAUAUAUGUAGCGGUAAUGUUGAGAAGGAUGAUGGAGGCUUUAUUAAACAAGGAUGCAAUGGAUGACAAGGAUUAUGUGGGUAACAAGCGAUUGGAGUUAUCAGGCCAAUUGAUCUCUCUGCUUUUUGAGGAUUUGUUUAAGACUAUGAUUACUGAGGUCCAGAAAAUAGCAGACGCUCUGCUAGUAAAACAAAACCGAUCUAGCCGGUUUGACUUUUCUCAAUAUAUAGUUAGAGAUAGUAUUACCAACGGGCUUGAAAGAGCACUCUCUACUGGAAACUGGGAUGUCAAACGGUUUAGGAUGAACAGGAAAGGCGUGACACAGGUAUUAGUCAGGUUAUCCUAUAUGGCAUCAUUGGGCCACAUGACCAGAAUUUCACCACAAUUUGAGAAGUCCAGGAAAGUAAGUGGACCCAGGGCAUUGCAACCUAGUCAGUGGGGUAUGCUUUGCCCUUGUGAUACUCCAGAAGGAGAAGCUUGUGGACUUGUGAAGAACUUGGCCUUAAUGACUCAUGUUACAACUGAUGAAGAAGAGAGCCCAUUAAUCUCUCUGUGCAAAUGUUUGGGUGUAGAAGACUUGGAACUUCUCUCUGGAGAAGAGCUUCACACGCCAAACUCUUUUCUGGUUAUAUUUAAUGGGCUUAUUCUUGGGAAGCACAGAAGGCCACAUCAAUUUGCAAAUGCCAUGAGAAAGUUGCGAAGAGCUGGCAAAAUUGGCGAGUUUGUAAGUGUCUUUGUGAAUGAGAAGCAGCGUGCUGUGUACAUUGCUUCUGAUGGAGGUCGAGUUUGUCGUCCGCUGGUUAUUGCAGACAAAGGUGUAUCAAGGAUUAAAGAACAUCAUAUGAGAGAGUUAAUGGAUGGAGCCCGCACUUUUGAUGACUUCUUACAUGAGGGAUUGAUUGAGUAUCUUGAUGUCAAUGAAGAGAACAAUGCUUUGAUUGCUUUGUAUGAAUGGGAGGCCACUCCUGAGACAACCCAUAUUGAGAUAGAGCCUUUCACGAUAUUAGGUGUUGUUGCUGGGUUAAUUCCUUAUCCUCAUCAUAAUCAGUCACCAAGAAAUACAUAUCAGUGUGCUAUGGGGAAGCAAGCUAUGGGAAACAUUGCAUACAAUCAGUUAGGCCGUAUGGACUCGUUACUUUACCUAUUGGUGUAUCCUCAACGGCCUUUAUUGACAACAAGAACAAUUGAACUGGUUGGAUAUGAUAAGCUUGGGGCUGGUCAGAAUGCAACAGUUGCAGUUAUGAGUUAUAGUGGCUAUGACAUAGAGGAUGCAAUAGUCAUGAACAAGGCCUCUCUAGAUCGUGGUUUUGGUCGAUGUAUUGUUUUGAAGAAAUACACUUGCACUAAUCAAAAGUAUGAGAAUGGUGCAUCAGACAGAAUCUUAAGGCCACGAAAAAAUGAAGAAAGAGAGAGGGUGUUGGAUGAUGAUGGACUUGCUGCUCCUGGGGAAAUUAUUAGGCAUGGUGAUAUCUAUAUAAAUAAGGAGUCCCCUAUUGAAACAAGGGGGCCUUUAAAGUCUGCAGCAGCUUUAGCAGACGUAAAAUAUCGUCCUUGUGCUCAAAUAUUCAAAGGUACUGAAGGGGAGUCAUGUGUAGUUGAUAGAGUUGCUCUUUGCUCUGAUAAAAACAACAAUCUAUGUAUCAAAUAUAAAAUCCGCCAUACUCGAAGACCAGAGGUUGGUGACAAAUUUAGUAGCAGACAUGGGCAAAAAGGUGUUUGUGGAACAAUCAUUCAACAAGAAGAUUUCCCAUUUUCUGAACGUGGUAUUUGCCCUGAUUUGAUCAUGAACCCGCAUGGUUUUCCCAGUCGAAUGACUGUUGGGAAGAUGAUAGAGCUUCUUGGGGGUAAAGCUGGAGUUUCAUGCGGUAGAUUUCAUUAUGGUAGUGCAUUUGGAGAACCAAGUGGUCAUGCAGACAGGGUUGAAGCUAUAAGUGAAACACUUGUUAAGCAUGGAUUUAGCUACAAUGGCAAGGACUUCAUUUAUUCAGGUAUCACAGGUUGUCCUCUGCAGGCGUAUAUUUUCAUGGGGCCAAUUUACUACCAGAAGUUAAAACAUAUGGUCUUAGAUAAAAUGCAUGCUCGAGGUAGUGGACCACGUGUCAUGCUAACCAGACAGCCUACUGAUGGGAGAGCUCGAAAUGGAGGUCUUCGAGUGGGAGAAAUGGAAAAGGAUUGUUUGGUUGCAUAUGGCACUAGCAUGUUGCUUUAUGAGCGCCUAAUGGUUUCCAGUGAUCAAUUUGAAGCUCAGGUUUGCAGAGCUUGUGGUUUAUUAGGCUAUUACAAUCAGAAGCUGAAAGCUGCGAUGUGUACCACGUGUAAAAAUGGGGAUAAAGUUUCUACUAUGAAACUACCGUAUGCUUGCAAGCUCUUGAUUCAGGAACUUCAAUCAAUGAAUAUUGUUCCUCGCCUAAGACUGGCUGAAGCAUGAUCUGAUGGCUAAUCUUACAGUUACCACGAAUGUGAAAUUAAAGAGAUGGAUCAAGCUCAUGAAUUUCAAGGUCCAGCAUUUGUUACCAAGUAGUUUAGACACGAGGUCUGUCAAUGCAAGAAGUCUGACGACAAACAUGUCCACACACAUCAUCCUUGCUUCAUCUGAUAGUGGAGCUGUGGGACGCUUUCUUCACAAGUCCCUGGAUGACGCAAAUGACCUACCUGUUCAUCUCUAAGGGUUGCUCUCCUUCAAGCAUUCUCAGGCACUCCGAAUAUCUAGCGCACUUAAAUCAGUUAAAUACCGGGUGGGUAAACUUCCUUUUCUAAUACCGUACCCCAUGGAAAGUCAAAUCCCCAUUGCCUCCUUAGAAGAGAUGUCUGAAAUACUAGACAAGGGGUGUGCCCGAACAUUAGUGUGUGAUAAUACCAUAUAUGAAAUGGGUAUUUGAAGGUUUAUCAGUCCAUUAGUCUACUCGCGAAUCUUGGGAUCUGCCUGCCUGGAAUAUGUAGAAGCCGAGAAACGGAUCCUAGAUUGUAAACAUUGUGAGUUGAAUACACAAGACACUUGAAAGUGAAUAAAACAAAUUUUAUAGGAACAAAAGUUAAAUACA